rnacentral:tRNA from 1 species
GGAAAUGUGGCUCAAAUGUGUUUGUCUGGUAUGUAAAACGCCCUGGGUGCAAUUCCCAGCAUCACCA